rnacentral:rRNA from 1 species
GGAUCCAGACUUUGAUCCUGGCUCAGGAUGAACGCUAGCUACAGGCUUAACACAUGCAAGUCGAGGGGCAGCAUGAACUUAGCUUGCUAAGUUUGAUGGCGACCGGCGCACGGGUGAGUAACACGUAUCCAACCUGCCGAUGACUCGGGGAUAGCCUUUCGAAAGAAAGAUUAAUACCCGAUGGCAUAGUUCUUCCGCAUGGUAGAACUAUUAAAGAAUUUCGGUCAUCGAUGGGGAUGCGUUCCAUUAGGUUGUUGGCGGGGUAACGGCCCACCAAGCCUUCGAUGGAUAGGGGUUCUGAGAGGAAGGUCCCCCACAUUGGAACUGAGACACGGUCCAAACUCCUACGGGAGGCAGCAGUGAGGAAUAUUGGUCAAUGGACGAGAGUCUGAACCAGCCAAGUAGCGUGAAGGAUGACUGCCCUAUGGGUUGUAAACUUCUUUUAUACGGGAAUAAAGUGAGGCACGUGUGCCUUUUUGUAUGUACCGUAUGAAUAAGGAUCGGCUAACUCCGUGCCAGCAGCCGCGGUAAUACGGAGGAUCCGAGCGUUAUCCGGAUUUAUUGGGUUUAAAGGGAGCGUAGGCGGACGCUUAAGUCAGUUGUGUAAGUUUGCGGCUCAACCGUAAAAUUGCAGUUGAUACUGGGUGUCUUGAGUACAGUAGAGGCAGGCGGAAUUCGUGGUGUAGCGGUGAAAUGCUUAGAUAUCACGAAGAACUCCGAUUGCGAAGGCAGCCUGCUGGACUGUAACUGACGCUGAUGCUCGAAAGUGUGGGUAUCAAACAGGAUUAGAUACCCUGGUAGUCCACACGGUAAACGAUGAAUACUCGCUGUUUGCGAUAUACA